GGCCACUCACUGCCGCGACGGGGUCGACACCAUGCUGCUGCGUGGGAACGAACGCCGCGUCGGCAUCACACGCGCGUGAGACGUGAACAAUGACGAAACACACGAGUAAAGGGGCGACAAAUCAAAACAAUGUUCACAAUCAAAAGUAACGAGCACAAGUUGGUUUCGGAAAGGAAAGUGGAGUGAUUUUGGAAGUUUGAGGAUUAGGAGGAGUUUGAUUUAGAAUCGAGGAUUCGGGAGAGGAGUUUGUGGGCCGGGUAAACAACAAGUAGACGGACACAAAUUCGUAAGUUGUAAAGUAAAUUUGAAACAAAAAACAGUGAAAUAAAUAACACAAAAUUCAUGCUAACGUGCAAACACGAAACAGGAACCACACGCGGAUAGAUUCGGGUGGUGAUUCACGGAGGGAGUACAAGACGGUUUAGGACGACACAGGACAGAACCGCUGUUUGUGUACAAGUAAGUUUGAAACAGAUAAACAUGAACAACAUAACAAAACAUGCAAAAUCUGUACAAACAUGUAAAACCGAACACGCUGUUAAACAUAACCUAAAAUUUACAGCUACAACACAAACGUAGAACACAAAUCCGGAUCGGGUUGGACGGAAAACAGGAAACAAACAAAUUGUAAGACAAAAUACACACACACACACACACACACACACACACACACACACACACACACACACACACACACAACAUGUACUAAAUAUUAAUCUAAAUUGCAGCUUUGAUCUGCCGUAAUAAAUUGGCUGAUUGACAAAGAGGUUUUUUUUCCGUUGGCGUCCGAACACGUGAAGUUCUGCAAUUCAGUAUCAGCCUCGACCCAACGCGAUCCCAAUAACCUGAUCGACAACCACCGCAUGAAGGCUCACGUUGUUGAGUUGACCAGCUCCGGCGAUGGACAUCGUCAUAAAGGUGUACCAAACCGGAUGCAGCGGAAGUUAUUUGGCGUCUACGAGCAGCCACGUAAGGAACCCCAAACGUCCAAGAGUGUCGUCCAGUCAACAACGCCAAAUGGAGGAGAAGCUGUAUCGGUUGCAGUUUUCGACGUGGUCAGUGUUGGAAGCAAUGCAGCUCGAUCGGCGCAAGGACCAAAACUGCUGAAGCUGGCAGGUAUCACGGACAUGCCGGCCAGGCUUAAGAGAAAUACGAUAGUCGAACAUUAGGUUCAGAAGAUUUUUUAUUUUUUGUUUAAAGCAGGGAAGAUGUUAUAUUAUACACACAAAAAAAUAUUAUGGUAAUGACAAAAGUAACUUACUUUUGAAUUAAUAAGUGGUUAAAAUUUGCUACAUUAAAAGUUUUUUUCUUGUUUUGAAAAUGAAAACUUUUACUGCUACAGUUUUUGAAAAUCUCAUUGCUAACUUAUUUAAAAGUUUUAACUUUUAAUUCGACUGUAUAAUUUCUUUCAUUUUGUCGUUCUCGUGGAAUCGUGUACGUCUAAGUCCAAAAUGUAAACAAACGUUUAGGUGAUUCCGGUGGUUAGUGAGUGGUGGUCCACGACGCCAAUCAAAACAGAACGCGUCCGCAGCCAGGACUUGGAUGCGGAUACCUUCGAAGGAGGAUGGUGCGGAACAAGGUUAGGGGAUUAGGGGAAAGUUGGUUUUCAAAAGGAUGAGGCCAGCUUCCUGCCGGAUCUGCAGCUGUUUGACGACCGAAAUGGGUAAGAAGGAAGCUUGGGUGUUUGGUGGCGUUUGUGUUUGAUUUUGUUUGUUUUUGUAGGACGCCGUUUAUGCGGAUGUGAAUUUGCACCGGUUGUAAUCGAUAAAGUUAAUUUUAACGGUGAGGAGAAGGAUCCGACGGAAGAAGGAAACGACGAGAAGCGAUCGGAGGUGGUCAGCGCGGAUGUUGCACUCGGUGCCGGCGGUUUACGACCAUCAGCAGCAUUAUGUGCCGGAAGUGAUGACGGGACAGUGUAGGAUGUCCAGAGGGUCCACAGUCCAUUUCUCCGCAGUUUGACACGUAUUACAAAAACAUCCGGAAGAACAGUUUGCACCAGUUCUGGAAGGACCGUCUGUACGGAAGCCGCAGGUCCUGAAGCUGUCGUACUCGGAUUACUUCCAGAGGUUGGAGCGACAUCCGACGAACCUGAUCAAGAACAUCUACCUGGAAUAACGAAGAAGUUACCGCAACUCCCGCCCGCAAACUCUCAACUCGCGACGGCGCAGCUUCGGCCGGAUGAACUGGCAACAUCUGUGCCAUUCUCGAAGGAGGACGAUGCGAUCGGGAACUAUCGGUUCAGGCGCUUCACUUCUCAGUUUGAAAACGUCGACUUACCUUCCCGAAUUAACACCCAAUGGCCAACUCCUCCAAGCCUGUCCUGAUGAUGGCCGACAACGAGACUACCCUGUUCUCUACAUCGCUGUCGCGCUCCAAAAUAUAGGCCAUGAUGUUAAGCAGCAUAAGCAGCAGUUUUAUUAUUAAAAUAAAAAUAGAAAUAAAAUCCAUCACAUUUUUCGAAAUGUUAAAUGUUAUUUAUUGUUGCCAUAAAAAGUUUCUUCUUAUAAUAAAAGUAAAAAAACUUUUAGCGAUACAACGAUUUUGUUCCAGAAGUGCAUGGUAGUAUCAAAAACUUUCCAACUUUUAAAUUAAAAAGUUUGAACUUUCUACGAAUAUUCACCAACGCGAACUUUUAAUCCAACGAACGAUCUUUUUAAAUUUAGAGUAUUUUUUCUUUGUGUGUACGUCAUUUGUGAACGGUCCUCUAACGUAGUUUGCGAACAAAACGUUAUUCAUUACAACCAGUCAUCGGGUCGAGCAUUCAAUGCUAGAGUGUGAAAGAGCCAACACGGUGAAUAAAUGAAUUCCUGUUAUUCCGUAAACCAGUCUCUUGUUUUGGCUAAUCACAUCUACUAAAACACUGUUCUCCAGCCAUAUUUUUUGGGUCGCAAGGCUGGGUUGAAUUCCGAGGAGUAAUCGGGACGGAGUUGAAACUCCGUUAGUUCCCAUGCAGCUGAGAUUCCGUUGUAUUUCCCGGACGGGAGAUUCGCUGGCGCUCUAUUAUCAUCCGGUAAUGUCUAGGGCCAGCAGCUUCGUCGUAGUAAAUCCGGAUUUUCAUUUGUUUUGUGUUGAAAUAAGUGCGUGUUCCAGACUCAGUACGGCAAGCCAGCAAGCGAGAUGGCGGUGACCCUGGGGGACAAGUCGAUCGAACUGAUGGAUGUGGACCCGCAGGAGACGGAGAAAGACGGGGCGGUGGUGGUGCUGGACUCUCAGCGGAAGGGCAAGCGCGCUGCAUCAAGAUUUCGACUCGGCAGACGUCCUUUUUGCCCGUGAUUGGCUGGUUGAUCCGGAGAAGUUUUUUUUUUUUUUUUUUAAUUUGUAUUUAUUCAGUUUUUCUUUUCCAUGUACAUUCAUUCAGUUAAAAUAUUAUUGAGUGUCCAAUCACAAUCGAUGACUUUUCACCUCAAUUUUAAAUACUAGCAACUUUCAUUUAUUCAUGAAAUAUUGUAGCUUUCGCUAUUCAGUGAUUUCAAAUGUAGGAGGUCCUACAUGUACAAAAGGGAAAAGGGAUACCUUAAAACUAACUUAUAAACUAUAUAAAGAGCGGAUCAAUGCAGCUGAAGACUGCAAUGAUUUUUGUCGAAAUGCAUCAAUUGGACAUAACAUCCAAAGUGUCAACUUCGGCUAAUUGAUGAAGUUCACUGGUGCUGAACCAGGGAGGAAGUUUCAGAAUCAUUUUCAGAAUUUUGUUCUGAAUCCUCUGAAGUUUUUUCUUCCUGGUUAAGCAACAGCUUGUCCAGAUCGGCACAGCAUAAAGCAUGGCAGGUCUGAAAAUUUGUUUAUAAAUUAACAGUUUAUUCUUGAGACAAAGUCUAGAAUUCCUGUUUAUAAGUGGAUACAAACAUUUAAUAUAUUUGUUACAUUUAACCUGGAUACUUUCAAUGUGAUCCUUGUAAGUAAGGUUUUUGUCAAAAGCAAGUCCAAGAUAUUUCACUUGAUCCUCCCACUUUAAAUUUACCUCAUUCAUCUGUAUAAUGUGAUGACUUUUUGGUUUAAGAAAAUCAGCCCUUGGUUUGUGAGGGAAAAUAAUAAGUUGAGUUUUUGCAGCAUUUGGAGUAAUUUUCCAUUCUUUCAAAUAAGAAUUGAAAAUAUCCAAGCUUUUUUGUAAUCUUCUUGUGAUGACACGAAGACUUCUACCUUUGGCGGAGAUGCUUGUAUCAUCAGCAAAAAGUGAUUUCUGACAUUCUGGGGGCAAAUCAGGCAAGUCAGAAGUAAACAUAUUGUAUAAAAUUGGACCCAAAAUGCUUCCUUGAGGGACGCCAGCACGUACAGGUAGUUGAUCAGAUUUGCUGUUCUGAUAACAUACCUGUAGAGUACGAUCCAUCAAAUAAUUUUGAAUAAUUUUCACGAUAUAAAUCGGAAAAUUAAACCUUUUCAAUUUCGCAAUCAAACCUUUAUGCCAAACACUGUCAAAUGCUUUUUCUAUGUCUAGAAGAGCAGCGCCAGUAGAAUAGCCCUCAGAUUUGUUGCUUCGAAUUAAAUUUGAAACUCUCAACAACUGAUGAGUAGUUGAAUGCCCAAGGCGAAAUCCAAACUGCUCAUCAGCGAAAAUUGAAUUUUCAUUCAUGUGCGUCAUCAUUCUAUUAAGAAUUAUUCUUUCGAAUAAUUUACUAAUAGAUGAAAGCAAACUAAUGGGCCGAUAGCUUGAAGCUUCGGCAGGAUUUUUGUCCGGUUUCAAAAUCGGAACUACUUUGGCAUUUUUCCAACUACUGGGAAAAUAUGCCAAAUCAAAACAUUUGUUGCAAAUUUUGACCAAGCUACUUAAAGUUGCUUCUGGUAAUUUUUUAAUUAAAAUGUAAAAAAUGCCAUCCUCACCAGGGGCUUUCAUAUUUUUAAAUUUUUUGAUAAUAGAUUUUAUUUCAUUCAGAUCCGUAUUAAAAACUUCAUCUGAUGAAAAUUCUUGUUCAACAAUAUUCUGAAAUUCUAUUGAAAUUUGAUCUUCAAUAGGACUCAAAACAUUUAAGUUGAAAUUAUGGGCACUCUCAAACUGCUGAGCAAGUUUUUGAGCUUUCUCCCCAUUAGUUAAUAGAAUAUUAUCACCAUCUUUUAAAGAAGGGAUUGGUUUUUGAGGUUUCUUAAGAACCUUUGAAAGUUUCCAAAAAGGUUUGGAAUAAGGUUUAAUUUGUUCGACAUCUCUUGCGAACUUUUCAUUUCGCAGGAGAGUGAAUCUGUGGUCAAUAACCUAUUGCAAAUCUUUUUGAAUUCGCUUCAGUGCAGGAUCACGAGAACGUUGAUACUGUCUUCGGCGAACAUUUUUCAGACGAAUCAGAAGCUGAAGAUCGUCAUCAAUAAUGGGAGAAUCAAAUUUGACUUGGACUUUAGGAAUAGCAAUAUUCCUAGCAUCCAAAAUUGCAUUAGUUAUAGAUUCCAAGGCUGAAUCAAUAUCAGCUUUGGUUUCUAAAACAAAAUCAUGAUUUAAAUUAUUCUCAAUAUGAUGCUGAUACCUGUCCCAAUUAGCUUUGUGAUAAUUAAACACAGAACUAUUGGGUCUGGUAACUGCUUCAUGAGAAAGUGAAAAAGUUACUGGAAGAUGAUCAGAAUCAAAAUCAGCAUGAGUCACUAAAGGACCACAAUACUGACUUUGAUUUGUCAAAACCAAAUCAAUUGUUGAUGGAUUUCUAACAGAAGAAAAGCAAGUUGGCCCAUUCGGAUAUAAAACCGAAUAAAGACCAGAAGUGCAAUCUCUGAAUAGAAUUUUACCAUUGGAAUUUACUUUUGAAUUAUUCCAAGAUUGGUGUUUGGCAUUAAAAUCACCGAUGAUCAAAAAUCGAGAUCUAUGCCGAGUAAGUUUAUUCAAAUCCCCUUUGAAAUAAUUUUUAUUUUCCCCCAGUGCAUUGGAAAGGCAAAUAUGCAGCUGCAAUCAUAAUUUUACCAAAAGAAGUUUCAAGCUCAAUGCCCAAACUUUCAAUAACUUUUAACUUAAAGUCACGUAACGUACUAUAAGUCAUACUACGGUGGAUAACUAUUGCAACUCCACCGCCAUUUCGAUUCAUUCUGUUAUUGGUUAUAACUUUAUAAUCUGGAUCACUUUUCAAAUAAGUGCCAGUUUUUAAAAAUGUUUCGGUUAUAACAGCAACAUGCACGUUAUGAACUCGUAAAAAGUUGAAAAAUUCAUUUUCUUUCGCUUUUAAAGAGCGAGCAUUAAAAUUCAUAAUAUUGAUGGAAUUACUUAGAUCCAUGAUUAAACUUCAGGGUAAGAACAACAUCAUUCGCAAAUUUUAAUCCAAUCUGGAUAGCUUCCAUCAUGGAUGUAGCAUUACUCAUUGUUUGAAUCAAACCAAACAGUGAGUUUUGCAAAAAAGUCAUUUUUUCAAACGUAACAUCGCCGAGAUCAGAAGAUCCCAAAGCGUUGCCAGCAGAAAAAUUUUCAAAUGAAAUUUGAGGUACCUGCCCAAUUUGAAGAUUGGUAGAGGAUUUAAAAUUCGUGGAUGAACCCGAACCCGAAACGACGUUGGCAUAAGAAAUACCAUUGCUGUUACCUAACUUUUCCAUGGUAGGGGUAUUGUUCGAGCCAGAUUCUGGCCAUUACCGCCAUGUUUCUUAAAAUGCUCCCACUUUACCCGUACAUGGAACAAAAACUGAACUUUGUCCAAAAGUUUCAAAUUGUUGAUUUCAUUUCUGUUGAAAUGAAUCAGAUAAAAUUGUGAAGUCAAACCAAAGCGAGAAAUAUUCCCGUUUGAUUUUUUCUUCAUUGGUAUUACUUGGGAUGGGGCAAAGCCAAGCAACACCUUAAGUUCGUUUUUGAUCUCAUCCACCGACAAGUCGUUGGAGAGACCUUUCAGGACCGCCUUGAAUGGACGAGCAUUCUUGGUCUCAUACGUGUAGAAAUUGUGUUUGUGGUUUUUCAAAUAACCAACAAAAGUUUGGUGAUCUUGUAAAGAUUCCGUCAACAAGCGACAUUCUCCUCUUCGACCAAGCUGGAACGAAACCUUCAAAUUGCAAGUUUCCUUGCAAUUCUUCAGUUGCGUUCGAAAGCUGGCCAAAUCGGAGACGGAAGUCACUACAAUUGGCGGAGCCUUUACUCGUUUCUCGACGGCAGAAGGCUCAGUACGAGGAGAAGGAUCCUUGACAACAGUUUCGGAUAAAACACCGAAACUGUUUGCCAAUGGAAUUGGAGGAUUGACCUCACUUUCAGAAUCGGAAUCAGACCUCGGAUGAGGCUGUUUUCUUUUUCUGUUUCCGUUAGCCGAUUUAGCGUUCAAACGCUUCACCGACGUAACGACCAAAUCUUCAGAAGAUUUGCGUUUACCUUUGUUUUGACGCAUUUUGCAAGCAAAGUUCUCUUAAAAAGAUGGCUUCGUUUGUAAAAUACAACAAAAUUUCAGGUGGGGUUAGUCUUGAAAAGACUGUUUAGAAUUUUGGAAAGUAACUCAGGUAGUCUUUUAAAAGACUGUGAAUUUUGUUUGAAAUAACUCUGAGCUUAGGUAGUAAAAAAUACCGCAGCUCUAGUGUCCGUUCACCACGAAGGUUCGCAAGACACUGAUUCGGAGAAGCUUAAAACAUGCGAUUUGGUGGGCAGCGUGAACAAUAGGGUGGUCCAAAUCUGGACUUUUUUGGGGCUACCCCCUGAAAUCAAAGAUUGACCCAUCACUAGGCUAAAUUCCAAAUUUGAGCUCAUUCUGACCACGGGAACCCCUCCCUCCAAUCGCUUAAAGUUUGUAUGGGAAAAUCGUCAAAAUGUAUGGAGAAAAGCAACUGUUUUACUUUUUUACCUGUGGAAGGCGCCAUAAUCAUCCGAUUCUUACCGUUUCUAAGAUGUAGAACCUUCAUUAAAUUUAGAACAACUUUCCCGAAGACACCAUAUUUUUAGGAUUUUUCCCGCGAAGUUAUUAGCGCCCAAAGCUGACCAUUUUUGCGCGGCCAGCUGUAAGGGGCUACCUAACAACGAUGUUUAUUUCCAAUUCGUACACGCACGUGCUCUCCCUCAGGUUCAAACUCUCUCACGAGCUUGCUCGCCUGCCUGCCUGUUUGCCUACAAGCGCGCGCGCUGUUACUCUGCUUGGACUUGUGUCGUCGUCGUCGUUUUCGUUUGCCGUCCGCUGCGCUGCGUUCCUGGCAUAUUUAUUAUAAUUUUCAACUAAAAUAGCAGGUUUGAUUUGAGAUAUA